rnacentral:rRNA from 1 species
UACAGAGGGUGCAAGCGUUAAUCGGAAUUACUGGGCGUAAAGCGUGCGUAGUCGGUUAUCUAAGUCGGGUGUGAAAUCCCCGGGCUCAACCUGAGAACUGCGUCCGAUACUGGAUGGCUUGAAUCCGGGAGAGGGAUGCAGAAUUCCAGGUGUAGCGGUGAAAUGCGUAGAUAUCUGGAGGAAUACCGGUGGCGAAGGCGGCAUCCUGGACCGGCAUUGACGCUGAGGAGCGAAAGCCAGGGGAGCAAACGGG